AUACUUAGUUGGCAAGGGAAAUACCAUGAUCACAGAGGUGAUUUUCCCAGGGGGAGUCUUACUCAUUGCACUCCGGAUAUGCUGACCCUGCCUGCAACUUCCCCAAAUGUGAGACCAACUGCAUACUUUGUGGUAGUGCAGGACUGUUGUCACUCUCCUUUG
ensembl:snRNA U1 U1 spliceosomal RNA